AUGCACGCUGGCGGCGUGCCUAAUACAUGCAAGUCGCGCGAACAGACGAGGAGCUUGCUCCUCUGACGUUAGCGGCGGACGGGUGAGUAACACGUGGAUAACCUACCUAUAAGACUGGGAUAACUUCGGGAAACCGGAGCUAAUACCGGAUAAUAUAUUGAACCGCAUGGUUCAAUAGUGAAAGACGGUUUUGCUGUCACUUAUAGAUGGAUCCGCGCCGCAUUAGCUAGUUGGUAAGGUAACGGCUUACCAAGGCGACGAUGCGUAGCCGACCUGAGAGGGUGAUCGGCCACACUGGAACUGAGACACGGUCCAGACUCCUACGGGAGGCAGCAGUAGGGAAUCUUCCGCAAAGGGCGAAAGCCUGACGGAGCAACGCCGCGUGAGUGAUGAAGGUCUUCGGAUCGUAAAACUCUGUUAUUAGGGAAGAACAAAUGUGUAAGUAACUAUGCACGUCUUGACGGUACCUAAUCAGAAAGCCACGGCUAACUACGUG
rnacentral:rRNA from 1 species